rnacentral:lncRNA from 1 species
UGCACAAGCACUGUCACUACAGUCACAUUCUUCAUGAAAUAGGAUAAUGAUACCAAAUUCAUAGUUUCUGGGAGAUUUAAAUAAUGAAUAUAACAUUUCUGGCAUUGUUUCUAGUAAAACUUCACUACUUAAUGGAAAAAUUAAUCGGAAUUUUGGGAUACGUUAUUUUUCACCCCUCAGAGACCCGCUCCUCUCCUUCCACUCCCAGGGUUCCCGUGCUGUUUCCGUCCCUCAGUCUCUCUUACACUUGGAAAGCAGCAACAGUCUGUUCCUCACAUUGACCUGGGUGACUUUUCCACAGAGCAGACCUGAUCACGGCUGUCCCCUCACAUGAAACCUGUACUUACCGUCCACUAAUUUCAGAAUCAAACCACAAUCCUGUGGCCAAAAUAUAAGGCUCUUUCUUAACCUGACUGUGUUCUCUUGGACCAGGCUCAUUUCCCACCCUCUGCUAUGCAGUAUUGGUCAGAUAGGAAUAAUCUGCAUUACAAUUACAAUGUCGUAUUGCAAUUUUAUACACACACCUUCCAGUCUAAUUAUCCCCUAAAUGUCCUCCUCUCCCGGCUCAUCCUGGAGUGCUCCCACCUCUCGAUCACCUGGGAGAAUUCCAACACCUUGUUCAAGGCUGAGCGCAGUCACAAGCUUGUCUGUGAAGCUUUCACUAGACUCUCACUGAAGAGUCAACUUCUUUGGAUAGACUUCACCAGAGUUCAAUGUCACCUCUGGAUAUUACAGUUUUUUUACAUCUCCCAUCAUGUUUAGCCAAUGAGUGCCUUGUGAGAAUAAACAGUGUCUUAGUCAUUACUUAAUAUCCAGAAUAAGAUUUAGUGCCUACCAUACAUCAAUUGCUGGGGAAAAAAAGAUUUUUUUAAUGACUGCAAAAACAAACUAUUGAAGGAGGAUAAACAGACAGUCCCAAAAUGGGAGACAAAGAAUAAACCAUGAAAGACGGAAAUACUACUGAGGAAUGAAGGUCCCGUGAUGAAGCACAGACACUGGAAAAGACAAAACAGAGAAAGAAGUUUGAUUCCCGAGUUUCCUUCCAGAAUCAGUCUGUACUGGCAGCACUUGGUGUUACUACAUUCUCUCUAACUUAUUUUCCCUAGUGAUGCCCCCAAAGUAACUGCCAAUAAAAAGGCUCCCUCACACCAUCACACGUCCCCUCAGCACUUGUGAAAAUGCUGUGCUCACCUGGAUGUCAUCACAGAACAGCCUGAGAGCACCGAUCCACCUUCCUCCGUGGACGAGUCAUCGUGUUGGAAGUCACGCCUCUACGAAGGUCAGAUGGCCCCUCCUGGGUCCUUUCUCACUUGCUGUCAGCCAGGUUCUACGCUUGACACAGCCCUGCAUCAUCUCAUUGGCUUCACAACUGCUGCAGCGCUGAACACAACAGCAAGCCGUUACCCUGUAAAUAUCCGUGCAGAUUGUUCACGCAGAUGCUAGCGCUGAAGGGACAGGAGUGCUUCACAUGCUUGCCGGCUCUCCGCGUCAGGCACGCCCCUCACGCCGGUCUGAACCUGCAGCCCCUUUCACCGGCUCCACACGGUGGCACCGCCACGCCUGACGCGGACGUCUGGGGCUUCCCCAUUGGCUCAGGGGCGG